rnacentral:tRNA from 1 species
GGGGUUGUGGCUCAGUGGUAGAGUGCUUGCCUUACAUAUGCAAGGUGCUGAGUUUGAUCCUCAGCACCACA